rnacentral:rRNA from 1 species
AGUGAACGCUGGCGGCAGGCCUAACACAUGCAAGUCGAACGGCAGCACAGUAAGAGCUUGCUCUUACGGGUGGCGAGUGGCGGACGGGUGAGGAAUACAUCGGAAUCUACUUUUUCGGGGGGGAUAACGUAGGGAAACUUACGCUAAUACCGCAUACGACCCACGGGUGAAAGCAGGGGAUCUUCGGACCUUGCGCGAUUGAAUGAGCCGAUGUCGGAUUAGCUAGUUGGCGGGGUAAAGGCCCACCAAGGCGACGAUCCGUAGCUGGUCUGAGAGGAUGGUCGGCCACACUGGAACUGAGACACGGUCCAGGCUCCUACGGGAGGCAGCAGUGGGGAAUAUUGGGCAAUGGGCGCAAGCCUGAUCCAGCCAUGCCGCGUGGGUGGAGAAGGCCUUCGGGUUGUAAAGCCCUUUUGUUGGGAAAGAAAAGCAGCAGGUUAAUACCCCGCUGUUCUGACGGUACCCAAAGAAUAAGCACCGGCUAACUUCGUG